UACAUACUCCCUCCGUCCGGAAUUACUUGUCGCAAAAAUGAAUAGAAAUGGAUGUAUCUAGAACUAAAAUAUAUCUAGAUACAUCCAUUUAUGGAACAAGUAUUUUCGAACGGAGGAAGUAUGUU
rfam:Hordeum vulgare subsp. vulgare, WGS project CAJW01000000 data, contig: morex_contig_1570958